UGGGGAAUCUUGCGCAAUGGGCGAAAGCCUGACGCAGCAACGCCGCGUGUGUGAUGAAGGUCUUCGGAUCGUAAAGCACUGUCGCGAGGGACGAAUAAGGGUCGGGAUAAUACCCCGGUCCCGAUGACGGUAACCUCGAGAGGAAGCACCGGCUAACUCUGUG
rnacentral:rRNA from 1 species